rnacentral:lncRNA from 1 species
UCAGGCAGGGGGUCAGGUUUCAGGGGGCUGAGUCUAUCUUCAUGAUGUCCACUGUCAGCAGGUUGACGGACACCUGGGUAGGCCACACCCAAGGGCCCAGUAAGAGAAGGGGACACACACAAGGCACUUCCAUGGAAGAUUCUAUCUAAACAGGGCAAGGGGUUAUAUUACAAAGGAACAGGUGAGCGUAGCUUCACCCAUGGGGCUGUAG